rnacentral:rRNA from 1 species
AUUGAACGCUGGCGGCGUGCUUAACGCAUGCAAGUCGAUCGGUAACAGGUGUAGCAAUACAUGCUGACGAGAGGCGGACGGGUGAGUAAUGCUUGGGAAUCUGCCUGUUAGUGGGGGACGAACCCGGGAAACGUCGGGCUAAUACCGCAUACGCUCUACGGAGGAAAGACCGGGGACCGCAAGGCCUGGCGCUAAUAGAUGAGCCCAAGUCGGAUUAGCUAGUUGGUAGGGUAACGGCCUACCAAGGCGACAAUCCGUAGCUGGUCUGAGAGGACGACCAGCCACACCGGAACUGAGACACGGUCCGGACUCCUACGGGAGGCAGCAGUGGGGAAUAUUGGACAAUGGGGGCGAACCCUGAUCCAGCGACGCCGCGUGGGUGAAGAAGGCCUGCGGGUUGU